GACGAACGCUGGCGGCGUGCUUAACACAUGCAAGUCGAACGGAAAGGCCCUGCUUUCGUGGGGUGCUCGAGUGGCGAACGGGUGAGUAACACGUGAGUAACCUGCCCUUGACUUUCGGAUAACUUCAGGAAACUGGGGCUAAUACCGGAUAGGAGCUCCUGCUGCAUGGUGGGGGUUGGAAAGUUUCGGCGGUUGGGGAUGGACUCGCGGCUUAUCAGCUUGUUGGUGGGGUAGUGGCUUACCAAGGCAUUGACGGGUAGCCGGCCUGAGAGGGUGACCGGCGACAUUGGGACUGAGAUACGGCCCAGACUCCUACGGGAGGCAGCAGUGGGGAAUAUUGCACAAUGGGCGGAAGCCUGAUGCAGCAACGCCGCGUGCGGGAUGACGGCCUUCGGGUUGUAAACCGCUUUCGCCUGUGACGAAGCGUGAGUGACGGUAAUGGGUAAAGAAGCACCGGCUAACUACGUG
rnacentral:rRNA from 1 species